GGGUCAGUAGGUUGGUCGUGCCACCGGUACGUACUGGUCUCACUUUUUCCUCCUUCCUGAACAACCGUAAUGCCAUUAAUUUGGUGUUGCGGGGAAACAGGACUGUUACUUUGAAAAAAUUAGAGUGUUUAAAGCAAGCUAACGCUUGAAUACAUUAGCAUGGAAUAAUGAAAUAGGACGAUCGAUCCUAUUUUGUUGGUUUCUAGGAUUGACGUA
rnacentral:rRNA from 1 species